rnacentral:rRNA from 14 species
UGUUGGGUUAAGUCCCGCAACGAGCGCAACCCUUGUUCACUGUUGCCAGCACGUUAUGGUGGGGACUCAGUGGAGACCGCCGGGGUCAACUCGGAGGAAGGUGGGGAUGACGUCAAGUCAUCAUGCCCCUUAUGUCCAGGGCUUCACGCAUGCUACAAUGGCUGGUACAGAGAGUGGCGAGCCUGUGAGGGUGAGCGAAUCUCGGAAAGCCGGUCUCAGUUCGGAUUGGGGUCUGCAACUCGACCCCAUGAAGUCGGAAUCGCUAGUAAUCGCGUAACAGCAUGACGCGGUGAAUACGUUCCCGGGCCUUGUACACACCGCCCG